GCAACAAAUGUUUACUUGUAGAUGAGUGAUCCAAAGCGAGAUGGUUCAACUCAAAGUUCACAAAAUUCUUCCCCAAGUAGAGAUGAUCAAACAACAACCCAGAAAAAUGUUUGAAAAAAGAUUAUUCCAAGGUCAGCUUGUUGGAACCAUUUCACCAAAUUUGUGACUGAAGAGGGGGAGAAGAGAGCAAGGUGCAAUGCAUGUGAUGUUACUUACACAACGGAAACAACUUCGGGUUCUACAACGAAUUUGAAUAACCAUUUGAAAGCAUGCCUAAAAAGACCUCGAGACUUAUCCAAAAUACCCGAAGAUCAAGAAGAUGUUUCAAGAUUAUCAACGGUGUUCGAAGCACAAGAAAAAACUUAAACGUUUCUAUAAUGGUUUUUGAACUGAUGUGUUAUUGUUAUUAGUUUGGUUUGGUUUGUUAUUGUUGUUGGUUAAUUGGACUUUUGUUGUGUUCUUUUGGUGUAGGUUUGUAUUGUAUUUUGGACUUUUGCUUAUGUUUUGUUUUUUUAUUAUAAUGUUGUUUAUUUCGACUCA